AGUCGCACGCAGAGAGCUUGCUCUCUGAGUGGCGCACGGCUGAGGAUCACGUGGGAACAUGCCUCCUUGUGGGGGACAACACCGCGAAAGCGGUGCUAAUCCCGCAUACGCUCGUCGUAAGGCGAGGAAAGCGGCAACGCGCAGGGAGAGUGGCCCGCGGCCCAUCAGGUCGUAGGUGGGGUAAUGGCCUACCUAGCCGAUGACGGGUAGCUGGUCUGUGAGGACAGACAGCCAGACUGGGACUGAGACACGGCCCAGACUCCUACGGGAGGCAGCAGCAAGGAAUUUUCGUCAAUGGGCGCAAGCCUGAACGAGCAACGCCGCGUGGAGGAUGACGGCCUUCGGGUUGUAAACUCCUUUUUCGGGGGACGAUAAUGACGGUACCCCGGGAAUAAGGCUCGGCUAACUCUGUGCCAGCAGCCGCG
rnacentral:rRNA from 1 species